rnacentral:lncRNA from 1 species
GGAGAGUCUCGGUUCGAUUUGAAGUGAAUCGGAGGUCAAACGAGCGAAAACGGACGAAAACGGGCGAAAAUGCUGAAAAUUUGGCUAAGUCCUUGAGGCUGAGUUCUGGACCUUCGGGGACCGGUCUCUCAGCCAAGGACCGGUCUCUCAGGGACCGGUCCCUCACCGCAAGGACCNUUGAAUGAUUGUGAUAGUUAGACUAUCUCUCUUUAUACACUUGUAUAUUACUUGUGGUUCUUGCUCUUAGAUGUAUUGCACUUGUGUGCAUCCUGUUUGAUCAUGUAUGUUAUUUAAGCAAAUUCCUGGGUGCUUAAUUGUACAUGAUCUGGUUGCUUAGCCUUGGGCGGACAGGAGAGGUGCUGUCCGUUCGGCGUCUGUUCGACGCGCCCGAUCCGGACC